UUCGUCAGGGCCUGAGCUUGACCGCCUCUCUCGACGGUACAGUUCGUCAGGGCCUGAGCUUUUGAAAACCGUUGAUGCUCAAGUUCCCAUUUACUCUAUGCUAAGUAACAAAGUUGAUUACUUUGGCAUUUAUAACCCCUUUUGUUUGUGAUAGUAAAGUUGAUUACUCUGUGUUCUAUGUUCUCUAGGUCAUUCCUUCUCUUUUGAGUGAGCUUCAACUAGCUGUUAAACGACAUGAAUCUAGUAAGUUAGUAGCUUAUGUUUCCGUUGAGGAUACAAGUCUUGUUGAUGAAGGUUCCAAAGAGUUGCGUGGACACAUCCGGAGAUUCAACCGUAACUGUUCUGCCUUGGCCGUUCAAAUGAACUAUCCUUUGAAUAUUUUAUCCAGGCAAAAGCCGAUGACAGCUGCUGCUUUCUCUGGGGAUGGCACUGUUCUAGCUGUUGCGGCUGAGAAUGUUAUUACCCUUUGGAAUCCGGACAAGAACAUUCUCUUGUCUGUUUUAGGAGCAACUCUUACGGUAAAAAGAAUUAUGGAUAUAAUCUUUCAAUAUACUAUACAGCCAAUCACAAAGCUCUGUUUCGCUGGAAAGUCUGAGUUCCUUGUUGCUGCAUCCCAUUUUACGAAACCUGAACUCUCUGUUUGGAAUACAUCAAAGCAAUCCUUAUCAUGCUCAUAUGGAUUACGCAUAGAAGGUAAGUCUUCAAAACUUCUCCUAGAAAGUUCUUGUUGUGUGUUAGCUUAGUAAAUGGUUUCUUCUCGUCCUGCAGCUGUCACAUCUGUGGUGAAUUCAUCAGCUUUUGCUGUCUUGGCUCUGAUCUGAUCCCAUAAACUUAAAAAAAAAAAAGAAUAUGUUCCGCGGUAGAGAUGGUGCCAUUCUCUUGUUCAACGGAUCAGAUCCUAACCCUGUAUCUAUAUGGACUGUAAUGAAGGUCUGACACAAAAAAAAAAAGAAAAAGUAAUGUUUCAUCCGUUUAAAUGAGAGACUAAAAUGAAAUAUAAUCUAACUCGCUGGCUGAGGGAGGAUCAAUCUCAUUUCUUGAAAGAGACGACAAGUCUCUGCUUCCUCUUGCAUAUGUAAAUGGAAGCUAUGAGUAUGUUGUUUUCGAUCCCAGUAGCGAUGAGACACAUGAGCGUAGCGCUGAGGGUCUUGCCGGUAACGAGGAGACAGGAGAUUUUGGGUACACGUCGCUGUACGGACAGUUGCCGGAUUAUGACAAGAAAAGAAUGGAGAAUGUUGAGUAGUUGGCAACACCUUUUGAAUCGUGAGAGAGACCAUAGGAAACGAUAUUCAGCGGUUCUACACUAAAUUUUCCGCCUCUUCAGAAACUAUGCGGUGAGUUCUUUGAGUCACUUAUGGAGAAAAGAACGGUCGUUGUGGAAUGAGAUAGGCUUUACGCAGACUUUACCACAAAAAAAGGUUUAUACAAAAGAAUUCAUUUUACAGCCAUCUUUAUUUUGGUGAGCAAAAGUUUUUUGAGUUUGUGCGUUCAUGAAAUUUUUUAGCUUCUUUUUGUUGCGAGGUUGAGUGAAAACAGAAUAUAUAAAUCUUAAAGCUGAACUUUAUCGUUAUGUGAUUAUUGACUCAUUGA